rnacentral:rRNA from 1 species
AGAGUUUGAUCCUGGCUCAGGAUGAACGCUGGCGGCGUGCUUAACACAUGCAAGUCGAACGAAGCACCUUGAUUUGAUUCUUCGGAUGAAGAUCCUGGUGACUGAGUGGCGGACGGGUGAGUAACGCGUGGGUAACCUGCCUCAUACAGGGGGAUAACAGUUAGAAAUGACUGCUAAUACCGCAUAAGACCACAGCACCGCAUGGUGCAGGGGUAAAAACUCCGGUGGUAUGAGAUGGACCCGCGUCUGAUUAGGUAGUUGGUGGGGUAACGGCCUACCAAGCCGACGAUCAGUAGCCGACCUGAGAGGGUGACCGGCCACAUUGGGACUGAGACACGGCCCAAACUCCUACGGGAGGCAGCAGUGGGGAAUAUUGCACAAUGGGGGAAACCCUGAUGCAGCGACGCCGCGUGAGCGAUGAAGUAUUUCGGUAUGUAAAGCUCUAUCAGCAGGGAAGAAAAUGACGGUACCUGACUAAGAAGCACCGGCUAAAUACGUGCCAGCAGCCGCGGUAAUACGUAUGGUGCAAGCGUUAUCCGGAUUUACUGGGUGUAAAGGGAGCGUAGACGGAGUGGCAAGUCUGAUGUGAAAACCCGGGGCUCAACCCCGGGACUGCAUUGGAAACUGUCAAUCUAGAGUACCGGAGAGGUAAGCGGAAUUCCUAGUGUAGCGGUGAAAUGCGUAGAUAUUAGGAGGAACACCAGUGGCGAAGGCGGCUUACUGGACGGUAACUGACGUUGAGGCUCGAAAGCGUGGGGAGCAAACAGGAUUAGAUACCCUGGUAGUCCGCACGGUAAACGAUGGAUGCCCGCUGUUGGUCUGAAUAGGUCAGCGGCCAAGCGAAAGCAUUAAGCAUCCCACCUGGGGAGUACGCCGGCAACGGUGAAACUCAAAGG